UGCAAGUCGAACGGAAACCUUCGGGUUUUAGUGGCGAACGGGUGAGUACACGUAAGCAACCUACCCUAAAGACGAGGAUAACCAUUGGAAACAGUGGCUAAGACUGGAUAGGAAGAUAAAAGGCAUCUUUUAUCUUUUAAAAGACCUAGUAAUAGGUAUGCUUUAGGAGGGGCUUGCGCCAUAUUAGUUAGUUGGUAGGGUAAUGGCCUACCAAGACGAUGAUGUGUAGCUGGACUGAGAGGUUGAACAGCCACAUUGGGACUGAGACACGGCCCAAACUCCUACGGGAGGCAGCAGUAGGGAAUUUUCGGCAAUGGAGGAAACUCUGACCGAGCAACGCCGCGUGAAUGACGAAGUACUUCGGUAUGUAAAGUUCUUUUAUCAAGGAAGAAAAGCAAAUGGCGAACCAUUUGUUUGCCGGUACUUGAUGAAUAAGCCCCGGCUAAUUAUGUGCCAGCAGCCGCGGUAAGACAUAAGGGGCAAGUGUUAUCCGGAAUUAUUGGGCGUAAAGGGUGCGUAGGCGGUCUAGUAAGUCAGUGGUGUAAUGGCAACGCUUAACGUUGUCCGGCUAUUGAAACUGCUAAACUUGAGUUAGAUAGAGGCGAGUGGAAUUCCAUGUGUAGCGGUAAAAUGCGUAAAUAUAUGGAGGAACACCAGAGGCGUAGGCGGCUCGCUGGGUCUUAACUGACGCUGAGGCACGAAAGCGUGGGGAGCAAACAGGAUUAGAUACCCUGGUAGUCCACGCCGUAACGAUGAGUACUAAGUGUCGGGUUAAACCGGUACUGAAGUUAACACAUUAAGUACUCCGCCUGAGUAGUACGUACGCAAGUAUGAAACUUAAAGGAAUUGACGGGACUCCGCACAAGCGGUGGAUCAUGUUGUUUAAUUCGAAGAUACCCGAAAAACCUUACCAGGUCUUGACAUGUUUUUGCAAAAUGAUAGUAAUAUCGUGGAGGUUACCAGAAACACAGGUGGUGCAUGGUUGUCGUCAGCUCGUGUCGUGAGAUGUUAGGUUAAGUCCUAAAACGAGCGAAACCCUUAUCGUUAGUUGCCAGCACGUUAUGGUGGGGACUUUAACGAGACUGCCAAUGAUAAAUUGGAGGAAGGUGAGGAUCACGUCAAAUCAGCAUGCCCCUUAUGACCUGGGCUACAAACGUGAUACAAUGGCUGUUACAAAGGGUAGCUGAAACGCAAGUUCUUGGCCAAUCCCCAAAAACAGUCCCAGUCCGGAUUGAAGUCUGCAACUCGACUUCAUGAAGUUGGAAUCGCUAGUAAUCGCGAAUCAGCAUGUCGCGGUGAAUACGUUCUCGGGGUUUGUACACACCGCCCGUCAAACCACGAAAGUUGGCAAUACCCCAAAACGGUAGCCUAACUCGUUUAUUCGAGAGGGCGCC
rnacentral:rRNA from 1 species